rnacentral:lncRNA from 1 species
UGCUGAUUAGACUUGGCAGAGGAUUUUGGGGAAUGAAGUCAUUGAUUGAGGGGCAGAAGUCGGGAUGAAGUGCCCUCUUAAGCCUUGCUCACACUACAGGAUUUUACCUUUGUAAACACGACUGUCUGUAUAAUGUGUCGAAAACGUAUCACAACCAUAAGGAGAAAGAGAAGCGCUGGAGUGAAAUCACCUCUGUUUUGAAUGUACCGGGUGAGUGUAGAAAGCAGCUAGCACACUAGCUAACAUAUGUAAACAUCACUUAAAUAUCAAAAAUGAUCUACUGCGUGCGAUCACGUGAGGCGCUCCUUCUGGCAUGAUAAUCUUAAUAUCUUAUAGUGUGUAAUGCGCCACGGUGUUAAAAUCUUGUAGUGUGUGCAUGUUUAAGAUUUGAGGGAAGAUAAUCUGCAAAGAUUCUCCUUAUGUGUGUGCUGCAACCAGAUUUCAUAAUCUGUUAGGAUUUUAAAACUCCUGCAGUGUGAGCCCGGCUUUAUGGACAUCAAGGGCAGUCCAGCUGGUGAUCGUGACAUGAUGAUAUUGUACUGUUUUUGAAAUCCUGUCAGGAGAGUGGAAUAUUUGAAAAAGAUGGGGAACCAGAAGGAGACCGAGAACUGUCGUAAUGUUGAUGAGGAGCUCCUUCAAACUGUUGAAAAAUACACCGAGGGGAAAAGCUUUUCUGAAUGGAAAACUAAAUUGCCAUCUGAGCUCAUCCAGAAAUUAGAUAGUAAGAAAAACUAUCCUGAGAACACACUGGGCCUGCUGCGAUUUAUACGCAACCUACACGAGCAUUAUGCAGAGGACGCAGAGAGCAUCAACCUGAUGGCUUCAUUCCCUGAUCUGUUUGGGAGUGCGUUCAGGUUUGCGAAGGAGAGAGGAUGGAACUCCAGAGCGAGUCUGAAAAAGUUCUUCAGCUCAGCUCCAUAGAUCUGAUUGUUGUAAUUUUUUUUUUUUUUUUUUUGCACAUUGAUUCUGCAUCAUGAAUGUGUUUCAUGAUUGGGUUUAAAUGUAGGGAUAAAUGAUCCUCACACU